rnacentral:rRNA from 1 species
GGCGUAGGCGGCUCUUCAAGUCGGAUGUGAAAUCUCCUGGCUCAACUGGGAGAGGCCAUUCGAUACUGCUGGGCUAGAGUGCAGCAGAGGGAGGUGGAAUUCCCGGUGUAGUGGUGGAAUGCGUAGAUAUCGGGAGGAACACCAGUGGCGAAGGCGGCCUCCUGGGCUGUAACUAACGCUGAGGUCCUAAAGCGUGGGGAGCGAACAGGAUUAGAUACCCUGGUAGUCC